CGUUACCGAGCUGCUGCCGGGCGGCCAUGGCGCCGUCGAAAUAGUGCAGUUUCAGCUGUGGAAAAUCAACUCUUGAGAGUCUACCGAAGAGAAGGGAGCAAAGGCAUAACACUUGUUUACCAAGUCUAAGGAGUGAUGUCUCACUGAAGUUUUUCUGGUGUUUUAAACCAUUGUAGAAGUUCAUCGUGAGCCAAGAAAGCAGUAGCAUCAUACUGGAAAUCAUGGAAAGAGGCAUCGUCUGCUGUGGAGUGUGGGGGAUUUGCAGCAAGGAGCAAAGCAGAUCAUCAUGGAGUUCUUCUCGGCACACAAGGAUGAUUGCAAAGUGUCCGUUGAUCUGGAAAUCAGUGAAGCUUGGCAUGAGAACCUGCAGCAGAUUAAAAAGGAAGGGAUGCAUUUUAUAUCGCAAUCCAUCCUCAGCCAUCUUUGGUCAACAGAGUCCCUGAGAUGCUUGUCUAGGGAAGAGAGAGACUCGGAAGGCAGUGAGGAAAAAGCUGAGCAGAAGACGAGCCCAUGUUGGCUUUGAAGGAUUUAGGCACUGGUCAGCAAGCAGCACCACUUGUUCCAUCAAAACUUCCUGCUCACCUUUCUGCCUGAUAUCCAGGAGUCAGCUUACAGGGAAAGGCCAAUGCUGUGACCAUGUAUUCAUUUACAGCUCACUGGGGGACUCAGGAAACCUUGUCAGAUUAAUAACAGGGUCAUGGGAGACCUGACAGCCAGCUCAGACAGUGCUGCAAUUUUGCAGCAUGCCCCAAAAAAAUGGCAGCUUGCCAACGACAGCAUGAGGAGUCUCUCCUGGAAAGACAGCCAUAGGUGGUUGUUUAUUUGUAUCGCACUGGAGCUGACUGUGAUCUGGACCCCGGAGAGCCAGGAUAUGGAAUAAAGGGCGUACUGCCACAAGACCCUGUGAUCUGAUAGAAAACACGAGGAGGAGGAUGGAAAAGGACAUGGAGCUGGACGUGUCGCAUGUCCGGCAUCACGCAGCACUCAGUGCCCCAGCCAACAAAACCUUGGAGCAGUCUCUAACUGGCAGAUGUUUUUAUUCUAAUAGAUGUUCUUAGUUGCAGCAAAUCAUCCAUUUUCAGAUUGGGCUGAUUUCACACAUGGUCUAGUUUUAACAAAAAACGGGAAGAAGGAGAGAGAAUGAAACAUUUUUUCAUAAAUCACCUUUUUUUUUUUCAUCCCAAGAAACCGGACCAGGUCAAUCUAUUUUGGCCUUAGAAACACGGAUAACAUCUUAAUGAAGAAUUUUAGAGAAAAAAUGAAAAUGAGUGUGGUUUUUUGUGUGCGCACGCUCAAAACUCAAUGGCUUCGGAUUCCCCAGGAAUUUCUUGUGCUUUCUGAAAUGCUGCUAUCCUGUAUGCCCUGCAUUCAUAAUCAGCUUUGGCUCCUUCUUUCUCGUCUGACCUUCCUUACUCUGAGUCUCCAAUCACAACAGGACAAAUUCUGGCUUUUCAAAAUCAUCUCUCUGAAGUGUUAUAGCUAGGAAUGACUGAAAAAGGAAAUUUCUUUCCACAGAAAACAUCAUUGAACCAACCCUUUUUUUCUUCUUCACCUAAAUCAAACCCAUUUUUUUCAGUUUUUCUUUAAAAGCAAGCUUUUGAAAAUGAUCCAGGAGUUGUUAAAAUUAACAUUUCCACAUUCAAGAAUAAACAAUAGCAUUUUCCAGAGAAUAUUUCUGAGGAAAAGAGGAUUUACUCAUGCAACUACUAUUCCUUUAACUGGAGUCUCCAGGAAAGCUUUUGAGGAAGCUUUGUACAGCUUGGGAAACGCAGGUUCUUCUUCCUGCACAAAAAUCCUGUGCAAAUUGAGUGAUGGGCGUUUGUGUUUCACUGCACACACAGCAGGGACAACAAUAUCGACACUCGCAGUGGGGCUGAAACCUGUUGAGGAAAAGUGCUGGGCAGGACUAAUUGUGGGCAGGACUAAUUGUAGGCACAGACUCUGCCCGUGUUGAUGUGGCAAAUCCAUUGGCAAAAGGCAGGGAGCCUUCAGGACGGGGAUCACGAGUACCAACCUCAUUAGGCAGAGCCAAGCCAGGUACUAAUUACCUCGGAGCUGCAGAGCUGUGGUGCUCAGGGUUCCUGCCAGCAUACAAGCUGUGUCAUGUCUUGCCUGUUGGUUCCUGCAGCUCAGCAGCACGGAAGAAAGCUGGGUCCGACUCCUCCGGGGUGAGAGCAGGUUUAGUCCAGGCUUUGCAAUGGUGCACCUCUCCUCCACACUGUUUUUUGGCCAUUUCCGUACAGUUUGGGUUUUUGGAGCUGUGACUGUGCCCAUCUCUGCUCCGUGGUUGUUCUAGAGCCACUGGGGCUUUGACUGAGUCAUGCUUUGAUUGUGAGGAGAGUCAGCAGGGGAAGCAUAUCUUUUAAAGGUUAUUUAUGCUGUGUUUUUCAAUGUGAAUUAAUCUUUGCUCUUCCAGAACCUGAUCUCCACAGGGAUUUUAACCCUUUGUCUACCCACGGGCUGUUACAGAUCUAAUUUUGUGGGCACAGGCACUCAAAAUUCCAAAGGCGAGCAGGAACAAGAGUGGACAGCCAGGCUCUCAGGAAGCAGCCAUUAUCAUAAAGUUGUAUUUUGACGUGGAUCAGCUCACAGGAAGCAUACAUGUCAGCCCUCAGUCACGUUCAGAGAGCAGCAGUAGUCAUUUGGCAGAUCUGGGCUUAGCAAUCACCGCAUUCCCCAGGCACUUGGCUCUGGACGAUCGGGAGGGCUUUCUGCAUCAGUCAUUGUCGGCUGGGAGAUGGACUCCCGCGAGAUCCAGUGCUGCACCGUAGGAGCAGACAGUCAAAUGAUGCCAAACAGGCAGGGCUCCUUUCCUGGGCUAAAUUACCAGAUGCAUGGGAAUGAACAUUUUGGCCCUGGAUGAGUUUGGUGGUGAAAAUAAUCUGGGACUCAAGCCAAGGCAGCAGGGCCAGAGGGAACAGUUAGAGUAAUGUAAUGGGGCUUCCUGCAAAACACAGCUACAGACUUUCAAAUCAUGUUCUUCAGUUUACCUAACUAAUGUUUUCUCCAGCUCUGGUUUUUAAUUAAUGAUAAUAUCAUUAAUCACGUAAUUAUAGCCUCAUCCCGUUGUCUUAUAAGACUUGGGUGACUAAUAAGGACGGGGUAACACUUCGGUUUAUUCUGUUGUGUUUUAUUGACUAAUUUAAUGUAGUGGCAAAGAAGCAAGCAUGCUGGGGACAGAAUCCCCAAAACAUAAAACUUUGCUGGCAAUAUGCAACAUUUAGCUUUUUCUAGAGAGCUGGA